GACGAACGCUGGCGGCGUGCUUAACACAUGCAAGUCGAACGGAAAGGCCCUGCUUUUUUGGGGUGCUCGAGUGGCGAACGGGUGAGUAACACGUGUGUAACCUGCUCUUGACUUUGGUAUAACUUCAGGAAACUGGGGCUAAUACCGGAUCGGAGCUCCUGCUGCAUGGUGGGCAUUGGAUCUUUUCGGCGGUUGGGGAUGGAUUCGCGGCUUAUCAGCUUGUUGGUGGGGUAGUGGCUUACCAAGGGUUUGACCGGUAGCCGGCAUGCGAGCGUGACCGGCGACAUGGGGACUGAGAUACGGAGCAGACGCGAACGGGAGGCAGUGGUCGGGAGUAUUACACAAUGAGCGCAAGCCUGAGACAGAGACGCUGCGUGCGGGAUGACGGCCUUUGGGUUGUGAACAGCUUUCGCCUGUGACGAAGCGUGAGUGACGGUAACGAGUAAAGAAGCACCGGCUAACUACGUG
rnacentral:rRNA from 1 species